GAAACCGGAUAUGACGCACCGGGGAUUACGCAAUACAUCGUGAAGGCACAUUGUGUUUAAGUGGCAUCUCAGAUGGUUGGAAAUGUGUAGUUGCAGUUGGACUGACCUUUUACUGGAUUCCUCCAAUCACGCAAUACCAUCAGCGCUAGGAGGGUGAAGGAUGGUGAUAUGGCUGCAACUGAACGGGGGAUUGAGGAGACUGUUCUUGGGAUCUAUGUGACUAGAGUUGAGGGAGCUGAAGCCAUGGACCCCCUUGCCAAUACUGGAGUGGUAUUAGGUGGUGUGGUUCUAGAAGACCUGGGCAGUGUGUUCCUUGCUUUUGCAGUUCGGGCUGAUUUAUGCCUUAUAUAUUUAUAACCUUAUGAUUUAGAACUUGAGUUACCCUCCUACAUACAGACACUUUUGAUGUACUCCAAAAACUGUUUCUGGAACUAGAUGCUAACAAACUGUCUCAUAAAGCUAUUCAGUGAGAUGUAGUCCAUACUGAGUAUUACACUUGUGACGUACUGUUUGUCGAAUUCCACUGUGGUUGCACUUUCUGAAAACUUUAAUGUUGGCACUGACUUUUGUACAUAAUUCAGAUUUGUUUAGAAGUGUUUCAUGCUCAUGUUUUGCAGACAUUUCACUUAACUGUGUGCUGCUUUGUUAAACAUUUUCCAUUGAAAUGAAUUCUGAUUGCACUUAUUGUAUGCUGUAUUGUGUUCGACAUCUGAUUGUUACACUGAUCAGCCAUAACAUUAAAA